UGCCUCAAGAAGCUUCUUAAUCUAGACCUGGAAGUUUAGGAAGUGAAAACAGUAUUUUACAGGCUGUAAUGAUAGGUGGAAGGCAGUAUUUGAGGAGCUUCUGGAAAUGGGGAGUGAUUCCUCAGAGACUAGGCAGGAAGGAGGGCAUUAAAAGGAGCAAUUUGUGGGUCAGGAUUGGAGUUGAUAGCUUCCGCGUGACUCUUAGCUCAUGAGUUUUCUUGUGACCCAUCCCACUACCCAAGUUUCCUCUAGUCUGAUGUAUGUGCUCCUCCCCUUUGCUUAUCUGUCAUACCUGUAUGUUCUCUGUGACAACACUCAGCCUACUGUCCUCUGGAUGAAAGUCCUGGCAGAGCAAAAAUAACCUCUUGGAGUAGUGAUGUCUCUCUUCCAGAGCACUCCACGACACCACUUCUCAGCUACCACUGCUCAGUGGCUAAAGUGAUUGAUUUUGAGGAAUUGGGAAAAAAGAGCGUUUUAUCUGCAUCCCAGUGACCAGAAAAUGUGUUAACUUACUGAAGCAGUGAAACCAUACCUGGUACAGUAGCUACAACUGGAGUCGCUGCCUGGUUAAGCUUAUGAUAAUCCGCCAUCAUUCUCCAAUAGCCUUCUGUCUUCUGCACAGGUCACGUAGUUGCCACGCCCACCUUGCGCCUGGAGGCUGAAUGCUGCCACUUGGCCCUGCCAGCCCGGGUUCCAAUUACUUCCAUUGCAUCUAGGUUUCCCAAGUCAGUGACUUAGUCCCCACUAAGGUCUGGCCUACAGAAAAGAAUAGGCUAAGAACACCUCUACACCUCAUCAUGAGUCACCUAGGUAAUUAUUACCUGUUGAUUUUAUAAUAAAAUGCUACUUAUCAAAUCUAUCAUGUCACUCUUUACAAUAUUAAGAAAAAACAAUUUAUAUGGGCCAAAUUACACCUGGAGACUGAGGAGAAAAAAAAAUUGUUAUGAUUUGUUUUUAAAUUUAACGACACUCUGUGUCAAGAAAUCCUGCAAGGAACCUUCAGAUAGUACAAGGAGCUUUACUUCUCACGUACAGAAGGCCGUCCUGCCGUAACUCCGGUUAUCAGUAUCCACUUGGAAAUGAGGGACAAGGGGAGCCUUUCAAGCGCAGUCAUCUAUUGUUUCCUGGAGCUGAGCAUAUGUGAUGAGAACAGCCUUCGUCAGAACCAUGCAGCAGCCGAAUAGUUUUUGUGUCGCAGGAGUGGGACGCUUGGAUUUUAGUCACCUUCUUUACUUGUAUAAGCCACAGAAACAAAAGCUAAACCUGGUGCGUAGCCAUGGUUCAGUUCACCCAUGAUAGGCCCUGAGAAGUUAGCCUUGGUUUCAGAUACGUGUAAGUAAGCCAUGGUGAUUUGAAGUUGGGGAGAAUGAGAUGUGGUUGAUGACAUUUCCUGAGGAUCUGUUGAGUAAGCGGUCGACUCAUGUUUCUAAGGAGCAUUCGGUUACUUCAGGUCAAAGAGAUUUGCAUGAGAAAUUUGUGCACCUGGAAAUAUAAAUUGCACGCUUAAUAAUUGCAUGUGCAGUAAGGGAAGUUUUAUUAAGGCCUCGAGGAAGAUUGGACUCACUGGCCAUACGUGCUAACAGCAGUGAGGAGAAAACACAGGUCUAGUUGAAAGGGAUUACAAUCUGGGUUUAGAGCAGGUGGGCGCUAGGAUUCAGAACAUUCUGACGAUGAGACCAGCAGGUAGAGCUGGGAAGGGCGUCUGGGCUAAAUGAGCAGCAGCAGAAAUCCAGUGCUUUUCCUUUUUAUGUGAAACACUCAAGUUUUGUGGGGAAGAUUAAGCCUGAGAAAUCUAAGAACAGUUUGACUAGUUACACUCUGGAAAUCUGGCAAGAGGAAAGGUGAGUGAUUAAGGUGGUUUCGGUCUAGCCCAUAGUGCUCAGCACUCUUUGGCACUGCUUGGUUUGGCAAAAUUGUUAACACCCUUCUGGAGAGAAGCUUGGGGCUGAGAGAUUAAGGGCAUUACAGGUCAAAGGUUGACUGUGUUAAUGUAUUUAUUUAGGAAACCAUACAAAAGCCCUUAUUAACCUUGGCUUUUGGAGACCGGGGUUGUCAAUCCUUCACUUUCGUGAUCCCAUUUUCACCUAAAAAUGUUUUUGAGCAGCCCAGUAUCAAAACAGAAUAUGUACCUCAGGUAGAAACAUGUUGAACUGCGUGGUACCUGGAAUAAAUACUACGUACACUGGCGGCUUCGUUGGUUAGCUACCUAUCACGUGAGCCGUUCUUUCGUUCCUAUAAAUUUAGUUACUAUUUCAGGAGAGAAGGUAAGUUAUUUUUCAAAAAUAGGGUGGAAGGAGUGUUCUCUAUUAUUAAAAAAAAAAAAAAUUCCUCUUUCAAAAUGAAGCUUUCAGAUUCCGAAUCGUUUAGGGGAGCACUGUCUACCUGAAAAAAGAAAUACGAGGUGUCUUUUAGUCUCAGGGGGGUUUAGCAACAAACCAUUAUUGUUUGCAGGCUGAUUGUUCUGAGAAGGCGAGCUGCCUUAAUGACAGCUUAGGCAGUAACAAUCCAUGAUAUAGUACUUACUUGGAUGUAGCAACAACUGUGCUCUAAGCCAAGAAGAAGGAGGAAAAAAGUCAGUAUCUUGUGCGUGAGAAGCUUGUAGAUACCCUGAGGUGACUUCAUAUAAUUCUAAAAUAGCAGGUAGCUUCUUGCAUAGCUAAUCAAGGCAUCAGCGCCUGGAGCAAGUGGAGGUGGCUGACAGUGUACUUUGGUUUCAGAUGCAUUCAGCUCUUUUUGAGUGAUAUGAGCUUAAUUCAUAUUCUGGUUUCUAUACUAAAAGUUUAUGUGUUCUGAUUUGGCAAAUAUCCUCCUUCACAACCUGACAGAGCGUGCUUUGAUAAAGCUGCCCAUCUUAACGUCUUACUUGCAUUUGUUCAUUUGUUCAUUAUAUGCGGUGAGAAAGUUCGUACAGCUGAAUAAAGGGAAGAGGGUUUUUUUUUGUUGUUGUUGUUUUUUGGGUUUUUUUUUUUUAAGCAUUGAGUUAUACCCCACCCUCCACUUCCAUUCAUUGCUCAGCAAAGGACAAAGGCGGCUCACCUGAAAAACUUGAAAUACACCCUGUAGGUAAGUGGAAAGAGCUCACAGAGAAAGGAGUCAUCCUGACUUUGUAAAGUAGGUAGGUCAUUUCUGGAGAGAGCAGCACCUUCAUGAAAGUGAAGGUCACAGAGUGACAUGCUUAGGUAGUUUUAAUUGCCAGCGUCUUGAGGUCUUCCAAAGAAAGUGUAACAUCAGUGGAUGGCUUUGGUUUGUCAUUAUGUCCAUCCAAGCUCUGGGCUGUGGUUUUGGUUCUAUAAAUCCCUCUGGUUUAAGAUGUAAAGGAAACGACUUCUCGUAGGGACCAUUGGCCACUUGCUAGGCAAUCACUGUUGUGAGGCAGAUCUGCCUUAUAAAACAGAGGGCUCAGGCUCAGUGCUCAGGAAGCUACAAGUGGAAACUCCACAUUCAAAGAGCCCAUAAUUUUACUCUAAUAGAUAUUUAGCAGCUUAAAUGAAAUAACAAGGAAUACAUUCACUCAGGCGCCAUCCAGGAGGAUUUGCUGGGUAUUUUACAUUCCACUCUUUGAAAGGAAAAACAUAAUUUUUUAUACUUUCCCAUGAUAUAUGAAUAUUUUGGUAUGCAAAGAGAUAAUACAUAGCAUACCUUUAAGGCUAAAUCAAGUUCUGUUUGGCCAAAGGGAUUUACUGCUAUCAGUAUAAUGCAGGCCAGUCAAUCAAGUUGAAUUUUUCCUCCAAAUCAGUGCAUUAGCGUUCAACCAGGCAGCCUCUUGCUUUUUUGGUCUGGUUUGUUCACAUGCUGCUCAAUUUUCAGGAUCAACAAAUACGAAUGCUGUAACUUACGACUCCAUGCCUGUUUCUCCUUACUCCCCAGGACCUAGCUCUCGGGGGUAGUUUGUGGUUUCAGUCAUUUUUCCUUUUAUCUUUUUUUUUUUUUUU